rnacentral:rRNA from 1 species
CUGGUAUGUACUGGCUUCGCUGAUUCCUCCUUUCUGAAGAACUGUAAUGUCAUUAAUUUGGUGUUGCAGGGAAACAGGACUGUUACUUUGAAAAAAUUAGAGUGUUUAAAGCAGGCUAACGCUUGAAUACAUUAGCAUGGAAUAAUGAAAUAGGACGUUCGAUCCUAUUUUGUUGGUUUCUGGGAUUGACGUAAUGAUUAAUAGGGAUAGUUGGGGGCAUUAGUAUUCAAUUGUCAGAGGUGAAAUUCUUGGAUUUAUUGAAGACUAACUACUGCGAAAGCAUUUGCCAAGGAUGUUUUCAUUAAUCAAGAACGAAAGUUAGGGGAUCGAAGACGAUCAGAUACCGUCGUAGUCUUAACCAUAAACUAUGCCGACUAGGGAUCGGAUGAUGUUAAUUUUUUAAUGACUCAUCCGGCGCCUUACG